AUGACUGACGUGUUCAGCAUGAGCAGAAACACCACUCCAUCUCCCCCAUCCCUCGUUCUGCUGGCUCCCUCUCAGUCCCUGUCUUCAGGUGAUGAUGUCAGGGUGGUUUGUCUGGUGAAGGGUUUCCGUCCUGAUAGCGCCACUCUGUCCUGGUCCGAUAACGAAAACGCCGUAGCGGGGACCGAGGUACAGACGAGUUCAUCUCAGCGUCAAUCUGAUGGCACCUUCAUCAAAUUCAGCACACUGAAACUCAGCCCGGAGCGCUGGAGCUCGGGACGAACCUACACGUGCCACGUGAACCACCUGGCUCUGUCAGCACCACUGAGUCAGAGCACCAGUGCUGAAAAGUGCAGCUAGACAAGCUGGAGAAAGGGAUGUGCUGCAUGUAGGGAUGCCAUCAUCAGCACAGAGAGAGGAGAAAGUGAUUAAUAAACCAUACAGUUUAAGAACAGCUGCUUCCUUCUCUUCAUGUCUCAGUGUUUUCUGCUCUGAGGUUUUCUGCUCUUCUGCUUCUUUUAGAGACCAUGUAGAAUCCUUCAUGUUCUAGUAGGUGCUUCGCUCAUCACAAACGUUUUCCUCAAUAAAAUGAUCAUAAGAGACAAA